rnacentral:misc_RNA from 1 species
CAGAGUUCAUGCCCUCCGGGUAGAUCUCCCACCCCACUGUUAUCAUUACUCUCGUUGCUUUGGCGGGCCGCUGGGCCCUGCCCGGCCGCCGGCUCCGGCUGGCGUGUGCCCGCCAGAGGCUUCACAGACUCUGAAUAUUAGUAUCGUCCGAGUAAACUAUAUAAUCGUUA